rnacentral:lncRNA from 1 species
UAUAGGUAUAAGUGUCCCUUAGACCUGAGAUCGUCUCAGUGACUUGCAAGCAACUCACUGUGCUUUGGUACUGGACUAACUAAAUUUCUAAUUCAGGGAUGGAAGGCUUCUGGGCACAGUCAAGUACUUACGAAGUCAGAGUGUGAUCGAGAUGGGAUUGACCACUCCAAGAGUUGGAGAAGAAUGAGUCGCUGUAUUUCAAUUUAGUAAAAUCUUGGCCAGGGUAAUCCAUCAGAUGGAUUUGAUAUUUUGAAAUACAAUGUGGACAACCUGAUCAGAGUUGAUAGUUGAACUUUGGAGUGUCCUAUGAUCAUUUUGAUCAAGGAGAUGAAUUAUAUGAAAACUAUAUCCGCAUGGGUUCUAAGGAUGUUGUUCUACACAUUCGACCUAUCCAGUCAUCGGGUACCAUUGCUAGAUGGUCAUUUUGAUUGGUAUAGAAAUUUAUUUCUAUGCUACCGGCUUAGGUUCGGACCUAUGAGGUCACACACAUUAGAGUUCAUGAUCCGAUCGGAUGGUUGAUCAAUGAUUAAGAAUCGUUCUAGGGUUAAAUGAUCAAUAGAUUACAUUUAACCCAGUGCGAGUGUUGCAAGAGGAUCGAUUAGCAAUUCGAUUGCUAAUUGGCUUAAUUUGAUUAAGCCAAUGGGCUGAGAUUAAGUCUAAUUAAAUAUGAUUUAAUUAGAUUUAGUUUGGGCUUGAUU